UAAAAAAAGGUAAGCUACUAAGAGCGAAUGGUGGAUGCCUUGACUGGUAAAGGCGAUGAAGGACGUACUAGACUGCGAUAAGCUACGGGGAGCUGUCAAGAAGCUUUGAUCCGUAGAUUUCCGAAUGGGGCAACCCAAUGUAUAGAGAUAUACAUUACCUAUAUAGGAGCGAACGAGGGGAAUUGAAACAUCUUAGUACCCUCAGGAAAAGAAAUCAAUAGAGAUUGCGU
rnacentral:rRNA from 1 species